rnacentral:tRNA from 1 species
CGGGGCGUAGCGCAGCCCGGCUAGCGCACCUGCUUGGGGUGCAGGAGGUCGCUGGUUCAAAUCCAGUCGCCCCGACCA